AAUUGCUGAACAGGUUCAUCAUGUAAUGAGGCCUCUAAUUCUAUGUCACCAGGAUCAUCAACAUUUUGCUCACCUAUACCUGAAGAGAGAGCUUUUUAAGUUGUCUGUCUUUAUAUAUAAAGUAACUACAAGGAUUUCUAUGCUUCUAAACGAUGCUAAAAUCAUGCAGGCCCUGAAGCUUGUAAUUGUUCUCAUGCACAAACAUUUUCAAUAUGAGUAAAAAACAGAUUGUAGAACGUAUCGAUUUUAGGUUCAUCAGGGGAAUAAAGCCUUUCUUGCUUGCUUGCCAAGCUAGGGUUGGAUGAUGACGACAGAAUAUAUAUAUAUAUAAAUAUAUAUAUACAGAAUAGGAUUAAUUAAUGUUCAAUUACAUAUGUUACAACAUACACAAGUCAUUUCACAAUAAUAACUAAAUCGCGAAAUGCGCUUUAGAAAGAUCAUGAAUUUUCAGGAGGAACAGAAGGAAAAGUACAUACGUCUAUACAAGGUGGCACUGUUCACAUGACUAAAAGCACAGCGAGUUUAGAGUAAAAUCAGUGCAAGUAGCGAGCAUUUGACCCGGUAAAUGUAUAAUGCAGUUUUCUGAGCAUUGGAUAUUGGAUAUAAUUAAAGCAAAGCUGCCACUUAACACUGGAAA